CGUGGCCACCGCACGCGCAUAAGUGCGCGGUCGGAUCUUAUAAAUGACUUUCCAAUAUAUGGAUUUAAAAUUAAGACGUUGCCGGUAAAAUGUUGUCUGUAAAAGUUGUAAAGCAAUAAAACAAACAACAAAAAUGAAUGAAAUGAACAAAAAACAUUUUUUGUAAUGGGUAAAAAAAAUAUUUUUCAAAAAGAUCAUGUGAGUAGUGUUGGGUUUUGUGUUGUUUUUUUCCUUAGUGUGACUUGUCUCUGUGAUUACCCAUUGAUUUCACCUGUCGUGCCUGCACAUAGUGAGUCCUCCUGUAUUACCCAGCUGUUCCUCGUUGUCUCGUUACCCCUUGUCUGCAUGUGUGUGUGUAUAAAAGCACCCAGUUUCUUUUCAGUCCUUGUUGCGUCAUUGUCAAUGUAAGUGUCUAUGUCAACGUCAAAGUCCAUGUCAGGUUCUCAUCAGCAGUAUUCACGCCUAUCCAAGCCCUUGUGUUCCAAGUGAGUUUUUGAAAAGCAGUCUUUUGUUAGUGACAGUUUUUGUUUGCCUCAGUGCCUUCUUUGGAUUAUCACAGCCUUUGUUUGUACUUUGUUUUUCGUUGGCUUUAAUUAAAUCAUUUUUGCACCAUUCAUCUGCCUUGCCUACAUUUCCCUGCAUUUGGGUCCACCUUGCCCGCCCGCGCUCCCUGACAACUAGCACCUUAGAGACGGUCAUUUGCUUUGCUAAGCCACCCCCAAAAAACACUGGAGGUCAGAAGAGGCAAGAUGGAUAUACAUCAUUUUUUUCAAACCUAAGCUUUCAAAAGCGACAACAACUACUGAGCGAGAACCAAGAACUGAAGAUGUGGACCAUGAAACACCGGAGAGCAUCGCCAAAAUGGUGAGCGGAAUUUCAGUUGGCUCCACUUCAGACGUUAACCCCCAAAAAUGGAAACAAGGUAAAAAAAAAAAAAAAAGUUCAUUUUCAACGUAUUAUUAUAAAUGAUGUUCCUGGCUGAAAUAUUCAGCCAAAAAAGAUGCGGCGUCUACUUCUCCACGAGGUAAGACAGAAAAACGCACACACGCAGACGCACACACAGCUGGGAUGCCUGUAUGUACGAGCAUGGGCUAAGCUACUAUCGGAGCAUAUAUCGUGUAAGUUGAUUUUAUUGCUGACACUGCGUUUCGGGGUCAUCAACAUUUUUGGCCCCUCUUGCCAGAAAAGUCAAACUCCACCUUAUGGUUUUACCACGCGAUACUUUUUACUUUGACUUGAGUAGAUUUGUGAUGAAACACAACUCUUACUCCACUACUUUGGGCUACACUAGUCAUUACAUUUUUCGUCUUUAUUGUACAUAUUGACUUUAUUCUCGCCAGAGGUGCCGACAGUGGCCGUCUCAGUUGUACCAAUGAGACGUCGCAACAAUAACCACAUGACUCCAUUAUACGUUAUAAGUAGCGGUAACAAUGUUUGUUCUCCGCUAGAGGGCACUCAUGCUCUGGGUGGUGAUUCAUCGUGUUGUUCUGGUCUGAAUUUGAGGGUUUGUGUGUCAUCUUUUUGGCCGGAUAGGUUAUAGUACAGUAUGAUAAUGACAGUCCAUCUACUAGUAGAUGAAGUUGUGCUUUGAAAAAAAUAUAUAACAUUAUUAUUUUUUUUUUUUUCAU